rnacentral:rRNA from 1 species
CCUACGGGAGGCUGCAGUAGGGAAUAUUGCUCAAUGGAGGAAACUCUGAAGCAGCAACGCAGCGUGGAGGAUGAAGGUUUUCUGAGUGUAAACUCCUUUUUAUAGGGAAGUAAAUUACGGCAUCUAACGACUAAUACCCGGCUCACUUCGUUCCAGCCGCCGCGGUACCACGGCGGGAGCAGGCGUUACUCGGAAUCACUGGGCGUAAAGCGGGCGUAGGCGGGAUAGCAAGUGAGCUGUGAAAUCCUAUGGCUUAACCAUAGAACUGCAUUGGAAACUGUUAGGCUAGAGUAUGGGAGAGGUAGGUGGAAUUCUUGGUGUAGGGGUAAAAUCCUUAGAGAUCAAGAAGAAUACUCAUUGCGAAGGCAGCCUGCUAGAGCGUAACUGACGCUGAUGCGCGAAGGCGUGGGUAGCGAACAGGAUUAGAUACCCUAGUAGUC